rnacentral:rRNA from 1 species
GUAGGGAAUCUUGCGCAAUGGGCGAAAGCCUGACGCAGCCAUGCCGCGUGAAUGAUGAAGGUCUUAGGAUUGUAAAAUUCUUUCACCGGGGACGAUAAUGACGGUACCCGGAGAAGAAGCCCCGGCUAACUUCGUGCCAGCAGCCGCGGUAAUACGAAGGGGGCUAGCGUUGCUCGGAAUUACUGGGCGUAAAGAGUGCGUAGGCGGUUAUACAAGUCAGGAGUGAAAUCCCAGGGCUCAACCCUGGAAUUGCUUUUGAAACUGUAUAGCUAGAGUCCCGGAGGGGUUAAUGGAAUUCCGAGUGUAGAGGUGAAAUUCGCAGAUAUUCGGAGGAACACCAGUGGCGAAGGCGAUUAACUGGACGGGCACUGACGCUGAGGCACGAAAGCGUGGGGAUCAAACAGGAUUAGAAACCCCGGUAGUCC